rnacentral:lncRNA from 1 species
GAUAACAAUUGAUGUCUAUCAUUUACUGUUUUAAAGAUACAAUAAGAAGGUUUAGUAUUUCAUUUUACUGGAAUGCCACUACAAAUUGUUAGGUGUCACUGGCGGAUUGUGAGACUUAUGAGAAUUAUCUAGAUGAUCGAUAAUUAUUAUUAAGCUGAGUUGGAAUUGUUCCGAUUCACUAAAAGGAGUUUCAGUAAUAUUAUUGAUAGUGAUCAAAAUAUAUCUCACUACCAAAUAGAAUAGAACCUAUGGGGUCCACAAAUAAGAGGUUGUGAUUGAUCAGAUAGCUAGAUCGCGAUUUUUGAAUCGCCGAAGAACCUAAUUUUUAAUACGUUGAUAAUUAGGCUAAUUUAUAAUUGUUAUAAAACAGUGAUUUUAAAGUGUAAAUGUUAUAAAGAAGGACUAUAAGAGGAAAUCGACU